CUUCGAUCUGUCUCUCUUUCCUGCUCUGCCAUGAGCUACCAGGGGAUCUUCCUUCGCCCUUCACUGUGAGAACCUGCUGAGGUCCCUGAAAAUACAGUCCGUGAAAGUGCAGGGGCCACCUGAGACUGUGAUUCCCAGGAGUUUCUCAUUCAAGUCCAUACUCAGCCUCCAACAAAAUUUAUCAAAUUUACUGUGUAAAGGUUCUGUCUACUUUAUGGCUUGAGUACCUUCUGCUUCAGUUUAUAGGUUUCCAGAUCAAGAGGAGUUGCACUUGAAGAGUGAAACCUCAUCUGCAGUUGGACCUGAUUUGGAGAAUGAAAUCAUGGCCAUCAAGUCUGCUGCCAUAAUAAGAUGAGAUUUUUGAUGGACCUGAAAAGACUGCAGUAGAUUUGCAAGGGGGGAAAAAAAAAGAAAUGAAAAGCCACAAUUUCUUUGAAUUUCCUCCCAUUGCCAUUUGGUCCUGUGACCUGCAUUUGUCAAUGGGACAUUAGCAAAUGUGAUGCAAAGAGACAUUUGAAACACGUGCACAUUGGGGUUCAGAAUUGCUGCUUGGAAACUAUGCAAGCAAGCUUGAACUAGCCUCUUAGAGGAAAAGAAGAUGUGGAAGCAGGCCACGGCCACCCAUCCUGCCCUCAAGCGGAUUGCAACCACAUGAGUAAGCCUGGGUCAGACCAGCAGAACUGCCCAUAUGAGUACAGCCCAAAGGGCCAACUUACAGAAUCAUAAGCCAAUCAAUGAUUAUUUUAAUCAGUACAUUUUGGGGAUUGGUUUGUUACACAGCAUAAAUUAACUGCUACCGUAACUCUACAGCACUUUAGGGAUAGCAACCUCAGCACCAUGAAGAGUCAGAGGGAAGUUCCUGGUGAGUCCUACAAAGACUCAUUAUCUGACUCACUGGAGAUAUCAAAGAUACCAGCUUAUGAGAAGGAACACUGGCGACUCUGAUUACUGACUUAUUUUAUACAUCCAACAUUUGCACAUAAAGUUUCCAAUCUUGCUAAGUUAUCAGUUUCUGAAACUGCCUGAGAAAAAGGUAACUGCAUGGUCUACUACACCUACCUGACAUUUUUAGGCAGUUUUUCUCACUUUAAUUUUACCUUUGGCUUAUGAAAUCUUAUAUAAUGGAUCAGUUGUGCUCCAUAAAAGCCUUGGAAUUUUAUCAAAUUGCAUGUUGUUAGUUGACCCCUGUGCAUCUCUCUCCAUUAUCCUGGCCCACUGCAAGGAACGUGCGAUUAAAUGUCAUUAACCAACCAGAACUAAAGAAGCUUCAUAAAUAGACAUGCUAACCUUUGACCAAACGCAGUUCAUAAACUCUUUCAGGAAAGAAAUGCUGGAGAUUUCUUAUAGCAUUUCUGUUUCUGAGUUAAAUUGGGACUAUGUGGAGUGGAAAGGGUACUAAACUCGGAGUUAAAAGGCCUAGCUUCUUGUUUAGAUCCUUCCUUCUCUUUACUGGGAGAUCUUGGAGUUAUUUAACCUCACUAAGCCUUGGUUUUCUCAUCUGCUAAUGGAAAUGAUGAAGCCUUCCCUUCCCACCCUCACAGGGUAGAUGUGAUGAAUACAUAAAGUAAAUCCUUUGUUUGCACAUGUCAGCAUCAGGUGCUGACUGGCCCACAGAGACCUUGCUUUUGAAUAUUUUUAAUGAUACUAUUUCACCUAUACACAGUACUGUAGGAGGAAAGUCAUAGUGGCAGUGCUUACUGGAGAGAAGAGAACCCAGUCUGAAAUGCUGUCAAUGCAAAGCCCUCCAGUCCUUGGUGCUGACUGUUAAGAAGAGGCCUGGACCCUCCUGCUGUCUGGCCUCUGACCAUGCUGUGGAAGGCCUUUCUGGCAUGCGUGGCAUUGACUCAUUAGAUCAGGACUGAAAUCUCCAUUGCUAUGUCUGCAAGAUGCACCUCUGCCAGAACGAUCCCUGUGUUUCUUGCAUACACACCCCUAAUAUUUGUGGGAGCCGGAGGACAA
rnacentral:lncRNA from 1 species